UCUGUGGUUUGCAGCCGCUAUUUAUACUCUCCGAAGACCGUCCGGUUCACUUCUCCAUGGUAUACAUAGUCAUCUAUAUACCUUUUUUCUAAGAGGGCCAUCUGAAUUCGAGUUCAAAGUCCAUUUUUUUAGAUAGCUUACAACAUAUGACAUGCAGUUGUGUUCAAAGUCAAGGCCACUGACCAACAUGUUAUGUUUCUUUUGAGAAACUAACAUGUACUUGUACCCGAAAAGCUCUGGGUAUUACGAUCGAUCUCCCGCGGCUCAACAUAGGCCAAAACGGAAGACGGGCUUCCUCAAAGCAUGCCUUGCUGCUUUGUGUUGUUGCUGCCUCGUAGACGAGUGUUGCUGCGGCUCAUGUCAGAUUUGUCGCAAACACGCCAAGCCAGAUGGUGACCGAUGAACAGUCCGAGCUGAGAUACAUAUGUAACGUAGUACAUACUAGAAGAAAAGGCACGCCUUGGCACGCUGUUUACUGUAAUGUAGCAUCACGUGUACCUGACGAAACUGAAUCCCAUGAGGCUGAAGGUGUGUAGGAGUUGAAGACGUCGCAGUCUGGGACCCGCAAGUAAGCGACGAUGUUGAGUAUUAUGAUUAUAGCGUAGGAUCUUACUCUACCCUGUCUUGUACUUCAAGUUGGUCAUUGUACCCCUAUAUAUGCGCCCACGAGGCUCAAGCAAUAAACAAUCAAUUCCACCAA